rnacentral:other from 1 species
UUUGUGCUGCGAGGUGCGUCAGACCUUUCGAUCCCUGGGGCCAAUACAAACCUCUAGGGAGCUGUCCCUGCCGGGGCCGUGGUCUCGGUAUAUGGCGCCCACCUGCUUUGGCAGGCCACGGAGGAUCCAUAUCGGUCAACGGCCAUCGCGGCACGCCC